GCCCCUGCUGCUACCCUUCUCCCUCCUCCUCCUUCUCCCCCUGCCUCUCUCCCUGGCUGCAUGAAGAGCAAAGGCCAUGUGAGGACAUGGGGAAGGCAGCUGUCUGCAAGCCAGGAAGACAGGCCUCUCUAGAAACUGACACUGAUGACACCUUGAUACAAACUUGUAGCCCUCGAACUGGGGGACAACCCAAAUCUCUGUCAACUAAGUCACCCAGCCUGAUUAUUUUUCUGAUGGCAUUUGGAGCACAUAAUGCAAUGUGACUGUCCAGUUUUUCUUUGCCACAAGGAAAUUGUCAAAUGCAAAUGCAAAAAUACUGCACAACUUCUUAGGCCAGGCAUACGGUGCAUGCCUGUAAUCUCCAAACCCUGAAAACAAGGGCAGGAGGGUUGGACAUUCAAGGCUUGCUAUUGUCAUUCAACCCUUGCUGAUCCUUCAGCUGGGAAAAGAAAUAUGUCCAGGGGUUCUGCUCCCCGUCACUUGUUGGCUCUCUAAGACACCCUGACUCAGCAGUCUCUCUCCUACCCUUACACACAGACACAUGCAUUGGAAGAAGACUCUGAAGUUUGUUCAGAGUAAAUAAUGAAGCGGCAUGGAGCACUAAGUUACCAAGGGUGUGUGAUGUAACAGGGACUUGAGAGUUAAGCCAAAGAGAUGGUAAACUAACCGUGAAUUUUAUCUUGUGUCCAUAGCUAGGUAUACAGGUGUAGCCAAGAAAAAAAACCAUACCUUACUGAGCUCUGAAAGUCUACCCUGUACCUAUCAGUCCACAUCUGCAAAGAGCCAGCAGGCGGUAGGCAGAUUACACGCCACAGUGUGCCGGAGCUGAGGAGCUGUUUUGUGAAGCAGGUGCUUGAAGAUUUAAAGUAUAACCGUGCCAGCUACAAAGGUUCAAGGUUCUUCGGCAGGCGCCCAAGUCUCAGAGCCCUCAUGCAGUGGCUGAUGGAAGCAGAGGCAGACACCCACAGAUAGACACUGAACUGAACUGUGGCACUUAGUUGCAGAGAGGGAAGAAUGAAGAUCAAAGGGGUCAGUA